rnacentral:rRNA from 1 species
UAUGGUGGUUAUACCAAGGGUGUUCACCUCUUCCCAUCCCGAACAGAGAAGUUAAGCCCCUUAUGGCCGAUGGUACUGCACAACAAUGCGGGAGAGUAGGUAGCUGCCAUAU